ACUACCAGAUUUCACAAACAUGAAGGAACUCUGUGCCCUAUAUCUUCGCUCCAUAAAUAUCGUCAGGUUACCUCCCUCAAUUAGAAUCCUUGGGAACCUCCAUUUUUUAUGCUUAGACAAUUGCAAUCUGGAGGAUGUGGCAAUACUUGGUGAGCUUGAAGCAUUGCAGAUUCUCAGCAUCACAUGGUCUCCAAUUUCUAGGCUGCCUGAAGAAAUCGGGAAACUAAUGAAACUGAGAUUGUUGAAUCUGAACAACUGCCGAUGGCUUAAGAUAAUCGAGCCUGGAGCCCUAAAAGGCUUAAUCAACUUGGAAGAGUUAUAUAUGAAGAAUAGCCUUGAUCCGUGGAUGGGCAAGCAUGAAGAACUGUCAGAAUCGUGUGUUGCUGGGCUUGCCGAGUUGAAGAACAUGACAAAGCUAGCAUUUCUAGAAAUAUCGAUUCUUGAUCCCAUCAUACUCUUGGAGGAUGUUGACCUACCAUUUGAGAACCUGGACAAAUUUUGUAUCAGCAUAGGACAUGCUAUGCAGAUGGAAUAUGAAGGUUUGACAACCAUGAAUCUCAAUUUGCAAGGCUGCGGUAGUAUUCUUUCAAAAAAAGGGGUUGAGAAAAAUCUGCAGAAGACUCAACGCUUAUAUUUAAGCAACUUGAGUGAGUUCGAAGAGAGCCCUUGCAAAUUGUGCACCCAAGGAUUCCGAGAAGUGAAGUAUCUCAACAUUAAAGACAGCCCCUCAAUCAAGUACAUUGCCGAUUCAUCCAAUGCCUAUUCAUCCAAUGGCCUCCCUCUCAUUGCUUUUGGGAAGUUAGAGUCUUUUUUCCUUCAAAAUCUUAUUAAUUUGGAGAAGAUAUGCCAUGGCCCCAUCGCGCCAGAGUGCUUCAACAAAUUGAAAGCCGUGAGGGUCGAACAGUGCGGCAAAUUAAAAUACUUGUGGUGUCUUUCAGAUGUGCAAGGACUUAACCAGUUGGAAGAGAUUAAAGUGUCGAAUUGUGACUCAAUGCAAUCCAUUGUCACACAUGAUGCAAGAGAAGAUAUAGUUUCUACCAACAACAGAGUUGAGUUGCCUAAAGUACGUGAUCUGGUAUUGUACGAGUUACCAAAUAUGACAAGCUUCUGUCAUACUUCAAUUCAGGUUUCAUUGCCUCACUUGGAAUCCCUGACAAUGGUUGGACUCCUUGGCCUAGAAAAGAUACUCUACAGUAAACGUUCAUUAAAAUACAGCAAUCUAAAAAAGCUAACUAUAAGGGAGUCUAAAUCCACGUUGAAGAGUAUUCUGAAAUUAGAUUGGAUAUUGAAGCUACCGAAUUUGGAAUCAAUGAUGAUUGAAAUCUCUCCAUCAGUAGAAGUAGUUUUCGACUUGGAGGAGCUGGAGGAGCUAGAAGUCAUCGAAGAUGUCGAGAUUCUCUCUCGUUUAACUGAUUUGACAUUACAUGAGUUACCAAACCUGCAUUGCGUGUGUAAACAGGAUGUAAAAUUACAAGGAAUAUCGAUACUUCGAAACCUGAGGGACCUCUAUAUCUAUAAAAUAGGCCUAUCAUUUCUUUUUUUCAGUGUCUAUGGCUAAAUGUUUGAGAGGAAUUAGAACCAUUACAGUGUCGAAUUGUCCAAAUAUGAAGGCGGUGAUUGUGGAUGAAGGAAGAAAUGAAGGGACAUAUGAUAUUAUAGAGUUCCCACUAUUGGAGUAUCUAUCUAUAUAUGAUUGUCGCAUGGAGAAAUUCUUCUCAUAUCCUUGUGGAAAGAAAGAGCCAGUAACCACUACUUCAGAUUCACAAGAUGCUAACUCCGAUUCCUUCUUUGAUCAAAAGGUUACGUUUCCUCAUAUAACAGUUCUGGAAAUUGAUGGCCUUCAGUGCAAAGAGCUAUGGAACGAUCAAAUCCCCACCGAUUCCUUUCGAAGUUGGAAUCUCUUAAAUUGAAGAACUGUGAAAACCUCCAAUGUAUUGCCCCACCCCAAAUGUGGAAGGUGCUCCAACGUUGUCUCAAGAAUCUUGAAGUGAUUUCAUGCCAUUCGAUCGAGAUCAUAUAUGAAGGACAUGGGAUGGAUACAGAGGGUGGUGAAUUGAGGGUGCUGCUUUUGCGUGAUCUCAAAAAAAUGAAGCACAUUUGGCAGUCCAAAGGUCUCCCAAACAUCCCGUUCCCAAAUUUGAGAGAUGUAAAAGUCGCGAGGUGCCCCCGUUUGGAAAUGCUUUUCCCUACCUUCACGGCGAAAUUUCUUGGGCAAAUCAAAGAGCUGAUGGUGGAGUCAUGUGAAGAUAUGGAACAAAUUGCUGGCCAUGAAAAAUGGGAAGAAGCGACUGGCACCACAAUCACCUUCUCCGAGUUAACUGCUCUUAGACUUUUCAUGUUGCCGAAAUUCAAAAGCUUCUUACCUGAGAAAUACUCUCUGAAAUUCCCAUGCUCCGAGGACUUCCCAUCCUUGCGAGUCUUGAGUAUAGUAAGCUGUGGAGCAGAGCUAGACCAAGUCCUCGAUAACAGGUAUCGCCACCAACAGGAUCGAGAAUUUCACGAGUAUUCAUAAGACGUGAGGUAUUCCUUCAAUAUUUCAUUGCUUUGGUUUGGCUCUCUGUUCCUUUGAAUCGAAAAUCAGUUUGUAUUAGCUAAGACACAAUUCUCAGUGAGACCCACAUGUGCUCUACAUCACGUUGCCCUCUCUCUUCCUCUCUCUCUCUCUCUCUCUCUCUAGCUCUCUUUCUUACUCUCUUCAACUAACGAUCUAUCGAUUCCCUUUUAUCCAUCCACCAACAGCCGCCGCCAAGGGUCCAUCGCUGGCCACCACACGACAUGGCACACUGAGAAGGGACAAAGAACAGAGAGCAUUGAUCGAAGGCUCUCAAUGAUUUCGAUUGAAUCCUUUCCUCUCACUUUGCUACUGGUCGUCACCGCUUCCCGAUCAUCACUUGUUCCGCGGGCAGCAAAGAAGUUCUGUAAUGCUGGAGUGCUCGAACUUCGGUCACGACUGCCUGCUUCAACGAUUCCAUUCCUUGAUGUUGCUUCUGUUAUUUCUUUACUCAUAUCCGAUCUCAAUUGCUAUAGCUAAUCGUUCUCUAUUCAACCAAACCAUAUAUGCUCUGUUUUCCGUUCCUAUUGCUACUGUAUGUGUGCAAAUCGACUUUGAUUGAAGGGUUGUAUUGAUGAUUUGAAGCAGUGCUCCUCGGCCUAAAUUAAUGUAUGCAACUUGUUUGAUAAAAUUCCUGAACUAAGUCGGUGUGUAUCUUUUAUUUAGUUUUUGACAGAGAAUUCCCUUGAUUA